rnacentral:lncRNA from 1 species
GAAACUGUAAUAUAAAUAUAUACGGGUGAAGCAGAAAAUUAAAUAAGAGACAUACCAGUUUCAAAAGAAAGUAAGUAAGCAAAACAGUAGCCUUGAGAGAGCCAAUUUGUAGCUCAAAAAGAUCUCAAGCAAAGCAAAGUGUUGAUUUCAAAAAAAAAAGUAUUGCAGGAACGUAAGUAUUUAGAAGUGUUUUUGUUCGUGUCAAUUUCAGUGUGUGUCAGUGUUUUUGCAAAUAGGGAAGACUAGUCUUUAUAUAAUUUGGAAAAAUAGGCAAUACAUAGGCAAAGAGUGCACAAACAUGGAAAUAUCAAUAAAUUAGUGUAAAUUAAGACAACUGUACUUCUUUAAUUGAGGAAUCUAGUUCAAAGACUAGUCAAAGCAGAAUAAGAAAAGAAAUUAGUUCAAUAGGGCUGACUAGGGAAAAGAAACCACAUAGUGCAUAAACAAGAGCAAAUACAUAGUGAGUAAUUAAGGAAAGUUAGAAUAUUAGUGUUUUUAUAAAGUAAAAAUAGGGCAUUAGUUCGAAGAUCAAUCAAAAGGAUAUUGGAUCCAAUUGAUAAUCAC